GCCACAGCUCGCAUUGAUGUUCCAUCCUGGAUGAGCUGCACUACCUGAGCCACUUGUGUGGGUUGUAGACUCUGUCUCAUGCUACCACUAGAGUGACAGCACCGCCAGCAUUCAAAAGUGACCAAAACAUCAGCCAGGAAGCAUAGAAACUGAGAAGUGGUCUGUGGUCACAAACUGCAGAACCACUCCUUUAUUGGGGGUGUCUUGCUAAUUGCCUAUAAUUUCCACCUGUUGUCUAUUCCAUUUGCACAACAGCAUGUGAAAUGUAUUGUCAAUCAGUGUUGCUUCCUAAGUGGAUAGUUUGAUUUCACAGAAGUGUGAUUGACUUGGAGUUGCAUUGUAUUGUUUAAAUGUUCCCAUUAUUUUUGAGCAGUAUACAUACAUAGAUAGCACUUACUUAAGCAUCUCGCAGGAAAAAGCUAGGGCCACCCAUAAAAUGCGAGACAAUUGUUUGGAUAUGGGACAAAGGGCCAAAAUGCAGGACUGUCCCGCACAAACCGGAACAUGUGGACACCCUCCUAGACCCUCCCCUGGUCAAAAUGAAGAAAAAAACUAAACCCUGCCCCUGAUUGAAAUGUUUAAAUAGCGCAACCUCCGCCAUUUUUAUCCGAGUAACAAUUGUGUACAUUUCGACCGCUCCAUAAGCGUUUUCAUAAUUUACAAGUAUCGACUGAUGGUGACUCAAUGUUGUUGCUAGAAAAUCGAGCAAUCAGUUAUCAAUAACGUUCCUCAACUCAGCCUCGACAUAAGAGAAUGGAGCGUUCGUCAGGAGGUGAUCAGCUACAACUGUGCCAACCUCAUUUCCAACAUGCCGUGCUUAAAGACGCAGACCCCUUCAUCUCUGAGCUGCUGGAGGUGCUGCAGUUUGAGAUUUACCAAACAGGGGGCCUGAUCAUCCGCAGGGGGUUUCUAGGAGACUGCAUGUAUUUCAUCGACAGGGGUACCUUUGAGGUAGAGACCUUCAAAUUCACCAAUAGACUGUCUGAUGGAGACUUCUUUGGAGGUAGUUUUGACACAGCAUCACGGACAGCACCACUAUCAAACUUUAAUCGGUGUUGGUGGGGUAUAGGUAGUGCCUCACUAUUUGACUUUGUGGACCAAGUGUCUAAAAUGGUGGUAGCUCAUCCAAAACAAGUAAGGUUGUACAUCUGA
rnacentral:lncRNA from 13 species